CACAUCCGCUAGGGGUGUUGCGCUGGGGUCCUGUACCCCGGUCGCGACUGAGAAAGUCCCUUUGAACCUGACUGAGGUAAUCCUCGCGCAGGGAAGCAGGCCGGUUUCAUU
rnacentral:ncRNA from 2 species